rnacentral:rRNA from 1 species
AUUGAACGCUGGCGGCAGGCCUAACACAUGCAAGUCGAGCGAGAAAGGCCUUCGGGCUGAGUACAGCGGCGGACGGGUGAGUAACGCGUAGGAAUCUACCUGGUAGUGGGGGACAACAUGGGGAAACCCAUGCUAAUACCGCAUACGCCCUAUGGGGGAAAGCGGGGGACCUUCGGGCCUCGCGCUAUCAGAUGAGCCUGCGUAGGGUUAGCUUGUUGGUGAGGUAAAGGCUCACCAAGGCGACGAUCCUUAGCUGGUCUGAGAGGAUGAUCAGCCACACUGGAACCGAGACACGGUCCAGACUCCUACGGGAGGCAGCAGUGGGGAAUAUUGCGCAAUGGUCGAAAGCCUGACGCAGCCAUGCCGCGUGUGUGAAGAAGGCCUUAGGGUUGUAAAGCACUUUCAAUUGGGAAGAAAGGUUGCGUGUUAAUAGCACGUAGCUGUGACGUUACCUUUAGAAGAAGCACCGGCUAACUCCGUGCCAGCAGCCGCGGUAAUACGGAGGGUGCAAGCGUUAAUCGGAAUUACUGGGCGUAAAGCGCGCGUAGGCGGUUUGUUAAGUCGGAUGUGAAAGCCCUGGGCUCAACCUGGGAACUGCAUUCGAUACUGGCCGACUAGAGUACGAGAGAGGGAGGUAGAAUUCCACGUGUAGCGGUGAAAUGCGUAGAUAUGUGGAGGAAUACCGGUGGCGAAGACGGCCUCCUGGCUCGAUACUGACGCUGAGGUGCGAAAGCGUGGGUAGCAAACAGGAUUAGAUACCCUGGUAGUCCACGCCGUAAACGAUGUCUACUAGCCGUUGGGAGACUUGAUUUCUUAGUGGCGCAGCUAACGCACUAAGUAGACCGCCUGGGGAGUACGGCCGNCAGGUUA